CUUCAAACCAAGGAAAUGUCAAUAUGACAACAUGUAAAAAAGGAGACCAAGUACAGUUGCAAUCUUUAUUAACAAUAUUCAUAAAUGUUCAGUAUAUCCAGCAUGAUUGGAGGUCUUAUGCAACAUUAAACUACUUUUAAGUGUCGAUACCAGUUAACAACUGCAGAACACCAAUAAGCACUGUAAUAUUAUACACCUCAAGGGUUUAGCAGAGAAAAAAAAUAAUAAGAUUUCUAUACCAAUAAA